CAGGCUUAACACAUGCAAGUCGAGGGGCAGCAUGGUCUUAGCUUGCUAAGGCCGAUGGCGACCGGCGCACGGGUGAGUAACACGUAUCCAACCUGCCGUCUACUCUUGGACAGCCUUCUGAAAGGAAGAUUAAUACAAGAUGGCAUCAUGAGUCCACAUGUUCACAUGAUUAAAGGUAUUCCGGUAGACGAUGGGGAUGCGUUCCAUUAGAUAGUAGGCGGGGUAACGGCCCACCUAGUCUUCGAUGGAUAGGGGUUCUGAGAGGAAGGUCCCCCACAUUGGAACUGAGACACGGUCCAAACUCCUACGGGAGGCAGCAGUGAGGAAUAUUGGUCAAUGGGCGCAGGCCUGAACCAGCCAAGUAGCGUGAAGGAUGACUGCCCUAUGGGUUGUAAACUUCUUUUAUAAAGGAAUAAAGUCGGGUAUGCAUACCCGUUUGCAUGUACUUUAUGAAUAAGGAUCGGCUAACUCCGUGCCAGCAGCCGCGGUAAUACGGAGGAUCCGAGCGUUAUCCGGAUUUAUUGGGUUUAAAGGGAGCGUAGAUGGAUGUUUAAGUCAGUUGUGAAAGUUUGCGGCUCAACCGUAAAAUUGCAGUUGAUACUGGAUAUCUUGAGUGCAGUUGAGGCAGGCGGAAUUCGUGGUGUAGCGGUGAAAUGCUUAGAUAUCACGAAGAACUCCGAUUGCGAAGGCAGCCUGCUAAGCUGCAACUGACAUUGAGGCUCGAAAGUGUGGGUAUCAAACAGGAUUAGAUACCCUGGUAGUCCACACGGUAAACGAUGAAUACUCGCUGUUUGCGAUAUACAGCAAGCGGCCAAGCGAAAGCGUUAAGUAUUCCACCUGGGGAGUACGCCGGCAACGGUGAAACUCAAAGGAAUUGACGGGGGCCCGCACAAGCGGAGGAACAUGUGGUUUAAUUCGAUGAUACGCGAGGAACCUUACCCGGGCUUAAAUUGCAGAUGAAUUACGGUGAAAGCCGUAAGCCGCAAGGCAUCUGUGAAGGUGCUGCAUGGUUGUCGUCAGCUCGUGCCGUGAGGUGUCGGCUUAAGUGCCAUAACGAGCGCAACCCUUGUUGUCAGUUACUAACAGGUUCCGCUGAGGACUCUGACAAGACUGCCAUCGUAAGAUGUGAGGAAGGUGGGGAUGACGUCAAAUCAGCACGGCCCUUACGUCCGGGGCUACACACGUGUUACAAUGGGGGGUACAGAGGGCCGCUACCACGCGAGUGGAUGCCAAUCCCAAAAACCUCUCUCAGUUCGGACUGGAGUCUGCAACCCGACUCCACGAAGCUGGAUUCGCUAGUAAUCGCGCAUCAGCCACGGCGCGGUGAAUACGUUCCCGGGCCUUGUACACACCGCCCGUCAAGCCAUGGGAGCCGGGGGGUACCUGAAGUGCGUAACCGCGAGGAGCGCCCUAGGGUAAAACUGGUGACUGGGGCUAAGU
rnacentral:rRNA from 1 species